rnacentral:rRNA from 1 species
CCCUUAGAUGUCCGGGGCCGCACGCGCGCUACACUGAAGGAAUCAGCGUGGCUUUCUCCCUGACCCGAAAGGGUUGGGAAACCCGUUGAAUCUCCUUCGUGAUAGGGAUUGGGGCUUGAAAUUGUUCCCCAUGAACGAGGAAUUCCCAGUAAGCGCAAGUCAGCAGCUUGCGUUGAUUACGUCCCUGCCCUUUGUACACACCGCCCGUCGCUACUACCGAUUGAAUGGUUUAGUGAGAAUUUUGGACUGGAACUCCCUUGCUCAGCAAUGGGCGAGGGGGAGUCCGGGAAGCUAUUCUAACUGUAUCAUUUAGAGGAAGUAAAAGUCGUAACA